AUGGGACAACGGAGGAGAACGCACUGCCGGCGGAACCAGCCACGUCAGGCCUUACAACCAUUUAGUUCACGGUGUCUAAUUAGGGUACCGGUGUCGGUUUCCUCUGCCAGCACCAGGGGUCAGGGCGUUAACAUGGCACUCAGAAACAGCUGCAGUGUGACAUGCUUGAGUACCAUUGAGAUCGCCUUUGAGAAAACCGUAAAGAACAAUACAGGAAAGCAAUGACAACAACACGUGAUGUUGCCAAGUGGACACGCAUUUCCUCACAUAAUUAAACGUCACACGUUAUAUUACAUGACGAUUUCUGAGGAGAUUAAAAAGGUUGUUGACGUAUUCAAGUCUGCUUUCAUGUCUUCCAUAGUGAUGUUAUCUCCCCCCCUCCCCCCCUGAGCCCCAGUAUGGAGUGGUGAGACGCUGGGUUUAAGUUGGACUGGAAGGAGGUUUGGCACCAAACAGGCAGUCCCUCCUAUGACUCAGUGAUUCUCCCUUCCCCUCCUUCCCUCUCCUCUCCCUAUCCCUCACCUCCCUCUCUCCCCCCUUUCUGCCCACCUGGAGAUUAGUCAGUCUCCCACACACCGCUCCGUUCGGCAAGCUGCUCCACCAGUCCACCAAACACAAGAAGUGGUUCUGUCGUAGUCGCCGGGACGUCUGCAUCAGAGAGAGAAAUGGUUAUGAAAUGGAGCGGCUGCCCCCACCGUCAGAAUUUUCAGUGACACAACUUCCUGGUCUGGAGGAGAGGAGUAGGAUGGUGGGGUGGGGGUGGUGGGGGUGGUGGGAGGCAGGGGGAAACGUAGACCACAGCCCUGGGUGCAGUAAUGUUUCUACUGGAGCAGGUACAAUAUGAACAUACCGAUCAGAACCCAAAUCUCAUUUACAAAAACGGUAUCCUUGAUUUAUGGGGGCUGUUGGUAGUGCACAAAAAAUAUAGGAGAGUGUUUACUGUAGAGUAAGAUUACACAGCCUACAUACCUGAAAAUUGCUUCGGUCUAAAUACAUUUAUGUACAGCAGUCUUUGUGCUAAGUUCUGCCCAUAUGGUUUGGAGGACUGAGAGCAGUGGGAGUUCCCUAAAGAGCAUUUUACAAUAAUAACCGUUGAGUAGAUACACAGUUAGUUCUACAUAAUAUAUACAUCUAACUCAUGAAAACAGAAUGUCUCAAACUGCAUUUGUGCGUCCUAGAAGGAACAGGCUGAGGCUCUUUUUCUGAUAUGCUCUAUUUGGUCCAUAAUCAUUCCAAUAGACCCCCCCUGGAAGGUUCUGCCUCCUCACUUUGCCACUGCACCACCCAGUGAUCUGACCUCAUCCUGUACUCAAAGGCUCAGCCCUUAGGCCAUGCGGUGUGAAGAGAUCAGAGACGUGGGCGGCGUCUGGAUUUCUCUAACGGGACAUGCGGUGUCAACAGGGCCGCGAUGCCGUCCUCCCUGGGUGGGUGGCCUGACGAGGAGAAGCACAACAGAGGAUGAUAAAAACUAUGCAGUCAAACUCCCGUCCGCUUCAUUAGACCGUUACACGAAGAGGCGGACUGGAUGUCUUUCCAGUCAAUAAGCAAUUGACCCCCAACCGCCAUGUAAAGCCAUGAUUUAAUAACCAUGAGAACCACUGCUGUGGAUAAUGAAUUCUU
rnacentral:lncRNA from 1 species